AGUGUGUUACUUGAGGACAUAUGACACUAUUUUAAAAGACACGACAUGUAGCCUCAUGAUGGUAGGCGUGACUACCAUUGAGGCCCCCUUCUCCGGUUAUAUCCCUCCUCUCUUUCUAUUAUAUCCUUACAUUGGGGACAUUGUUAGAUUUAAGUGUGGGGGGGACUUUUGACGCUUUCUUUAUUUUAUUUUUAUCUGCUUAGUUUAGUUUUUUAUUUGUUCUGUUUUUUAGUUUAGAUUUACUUAUUGUUUUAACUUUUGAUUUCGUUGUUAAUUUAGUUGCUAGUUUAGUGUAUCAAGUCAACCACAUGUGUUGUCGAUUCAUUUAUACGUGCGUUUCUGUUUUGUUGUUAAUUUUCCCAAAUUCUUG
rnacentral:lncRNA from 1 species